rnacentral:rRNA from 1 species
AUGCCUCAGGUGGCUCCUGGGCGAGAGGGCUCUCUGAAGUCCGUGCCGGCAUGCAGUUUGGUUGACCGUGGAUUGCAUUUCCCUUUGACGACUAGGAGGGUCACCUCUCGCCAUAGUGCAGCUCGGCUGGCUCUCUGUUGCAGCUCCUUCGGCUGGGUGUUCGCGGUUCUGUUUGAAAGUGUUUUGCAUAGUUUUCGGUUCAGGGCUUCUUUUGUGCAGUUCAUUGCUUUUUCUUUGAAAAUUUUGUGUAUGAUCCAGGACUCCACCUCCGCUUUCAGUCCAGAAUUGCCGCGCAGUGUAUUUGACAAAGGAGUUCACUUUGCAGAAAAAAUUGUACAUGGGAGUUCACUUCUUUGUUAUUUUGGGGGGAAUUGUUUUUUGCAAAAUUGUAAGGACAAUGGUGUAUAA